rnacentral:rRNA from 1 species
GAAACCGUGAUAAGGGAAUCUCGAGUGCCAGCAUAUAAUGUUGGCUGUCCAGAUGCCUAAAAAGCAUCUGUUAGCAAGGGCCGGGCAAGACCGGUGCCAGCCGCCGCGGUAACACCGGCGGCCCGAGNNUAACCGUUAUUAUUGGGUCUAAAGGGUCUGUAGCCGGCCAAGUAAGUCCCUUGGGAAAUCUGGCAGCUCAACUGUCAGGCUGCUAGGGGAUACUGUUUGGCUUGGGACCGGGAGAGGUGAGAGGUACCUUGGGGGUAGGGGUGAAAUCUUGUGAUCCUCGGGGGACCACCAGUGGCGAAGGCGUCUCACCAGAACGGGUCCGACGGUAAGGGACGAAAGCUAGGGGCACGAACCGGAUUAGAUACCCGGGUAGUCCUAGCCGUAAACGAUGCUCGCUAGGUGUCAGUCACGGUGCGACCGUGAUUGGUGCCGUAGGGAAGCCGUGAAGCGAGCCACCU